rfam:Hydrocarboniphaga effusa AP103 245_2, whole genome shotgun sequence.
GGGUCAAGCGGCCAAGGAUGGCCGCUUGAGGCUCGUCGCGACACGACGUCGCGUCGAGCCGACCCC